rnacentral:rRNA from 1 species
UGGGGAAUAUUGCACAAUGGGCGGAAGCCUGAUGCAGCGACGCCGCGUGGGGGAUGAAGGCCUUCGGGUUGUAAACUCCUUUCGACAGGGACGAAGCUUUUGUGACGGUACCUGUAUAAGAAGCACCGGCUAACUACGUGCCAGCAGCCGCGGUAAUACGUAGGGUGCGAGCGUUGUCCGGAAUUACUGGGCGUAAAGAGCUCGUAGGUGGUUUGUCGCGUCGUCUGUGAAAUUCCGGGGCUUAACUCCGGGCGUGCAGGCGAUACGGGCUGACUUGAGUGCUGUAGGGGAGACUGGAAUUCCUGGUGUAGCUGUGAAAUGCGCAGAUAUCAGGAGGAACUCCGAUGGCGAAGGCAGGUCUCUGGGCAGUAACUGACGCUGAGGAGCGAAAGCAUGGGUAGCGAACAGG